AAAUGUGAGGUCACCCUUUGCGGGAACAGGAGGCGAGCCGGAGGAAGUUCCUUUUCCUCUCUCCAGCCUCGCCGUCUCAGCAGAGCGAAACAGGGGAGCCCCUGGCAAGCAAAUGUUGGAAGGUUCCCAGCCCAGCGUCACAGCAGAGCAGAGAGGAUUCCAAAGCUCUUGAGCUGCAUGAAGUCACUGGAACACAGUAGAGCUUCUGAACCUGUAGCUGGAGAUGAGUAUCACCAGCCAACAUCCUUGGCAGAGCUGUGAGCCAACAGCCAGCCCCAGCCUGCCAGCCGUGUGAGCAAGCAGUCUUGGAAGGUGAUUCUACAGCCCCAGCUGAAACACUCCAACUGAUGCCAUGUGAGCCGAGAAGAGCAGCCAAACUGAGCCCUUCUCAAAUCCCUGAUCCUCCAAAUGUAGGCAAAAUAAAUUGCUGGUUUUAAGCCACUAAGUUUUGAUAUAGAUUGUUAUGUAAUAAUAGAUAUCAGAGCUCUAGCUAAGGCAGGUGCUGAAGGGAAGAUGUUUUUAUCAUUCAUAGAUAUCACAAAAUAUGUAUAUUUAAUGCAUUUCAAAAUUUUAGUUCUAACCAAUACAAUUCUUUGGAGUUUACUUUUCCCGUUAUAGAAAUGGUACAUUAUAAAUCACCUACCUGCGAGUCUCAAUCUACUCUUGUUAUUUUUCUAUGUUCCGUUCUAGUAUUUGCUUUAAGUGCAUAUUUAAUUUGUAAUUAAAUAUGUAAUUAUGAAAU
rnacentral:lncRNA from 1 species